rnacentral:rRNA from 1 species
GAUGAAACGACGUGGCGGCGUGCCCUAACCACAUAACGCAAGUCGAACGAACGACGGCCUGGCCCCCGACGGUUCUUUCGGGAACGAGGAGCCUUGCGACUGAGUGGCGGACGGGUGAGUAACGCGUGGGCAACCUGCCUUGCACUGGGGAUAACAGCCAGAAAUGGCUGCUAAUACCGCAUAAGACCGAAGCGCCGCAUGGCGCGGCGGCCAAAGCCCCGGCGGUGCAAGAUGGGCCCGCGUCUGAUUAGGUAGUUGGCGGGGUAACGGCCCACCAAGCCGACGAUCAGUAGCCGACCUGAGAGGGUGACCGGCCACAUUGGGACUGAGACACGGCCCAGACUCCUACGGGAGGCAGCAGUGGGGAAUAUUGCACAAAUGGGGAAAACCCUGAUGCAGCGACGCCGCGUGAAGGAUGAAAGUAUUUCGGUAUGUAAACUUCUAUCAGCAGGGAAGAAGAUGACGGUACCUGACUAAGAAGCCCCGGCUAACUACGUGCCAGCAGCCGCCGUAAG